rnacentral:rRNA from 1 species
GACGAACGCUGGCGGCGUGCUUAACACAUGCAAGUCGAACGGAAAGACCCUGCUUUUGUGGGGUGCUCGAGUGGCGAACGGGUGAGUAACACGUGAGUAACCUGCCCUUGACUUUGGGAUAACUUCAGGAAACUGGGGCUAAUACCGGAUAGGAGCUCCUGCUGCAUGGUGGGGGUUGGAAAGUUUCGGCGGUUGGGGAUGGACUCGCGGCUUAUCAGCUUGUUGGUGGGGUAGUGGCUUACCAAGGCUUUGACGGGUAGCCGGCCUGAGAGGGUGACCGGCCACAUUGGGACUGAGAUACGGCCCAGACUCCUGCGGGAGGCAGCAGUGGGGAAUAUUGCACAAUGGGCGGAAGCCUGAUGCAGCAACGCCGCGUGCGGGAUGACGGCCUUCGGGUUGUAAACCGCUUUCGCCUGUGACGAAGCGUGAGUGACGGUAAUGGGUAAAGAAGCACCGGCUAACUACGUG